UCUAAGGAGUAUUUCACGAAAUCAAGCUGCACGUUUGAAAAACGGAAAUACAAAGACAACCCCGCCUUGCCCCAAGCCACUCCCCUUCCCUCCCCCCUCUUCAGUCAGGGAACCUUUUUAUGCGCGCCGAAAACCAAUAACCCCAGCCAUCGGUCCAUCCCCGCGAGGGGAGAACCCCGGCGGGAAAUUGCCCCGACGCGACAGGAAACAAAGCCCCUUGACAAAGGAACAGGACGAAACUGAAACAG
rnacentral:misc_RNA from 1 species